rnacentral:lncRNA from 1 species
GCAUUUAGAAGAUGACCAAAGUACACCUGUAGGUAUGCACAGUCUUGGGGAUGCAGUCACUCUGGGUACUCUGAUGCUAACAUUGGAUAGAGAUCAAAGUUAAUGUGUAGCAGAAUUCCCAGACCAGGCCAAGAUCAGAAUACAUUUGGAAACUCAUUAGGAGCUCCACUUGCCUUGGUGUCUUUUCACUGGACAUGGCCUUGUGGCAAGGGUGACAGGCUGGGGAGCUAACAGCUUCCUAGCCUCACACCUACACUAGAAAACUCAAUCUUCUGUAGGGUCUAAGUUCAAGGUGAAGUCCCAGGGAUAGUAGCCUUA